AUUGAACGCUGGCGGCAGGCUUAACACAUGCAAGUCGAGCGAGCGGCGGAUGGGUGAGUAAUGUCUGGGAAACUGCCUGCUGGAGGGGGAUAACUACUGGAAACGGUAGCUAAUACCGCAUACCAUCAGAUGUGCCCAGAUGGGAUUAGCUAGUGGGUGGGGUAAUGGCUCACCAAGCCGACGAUCCCUAGCUGGUCUGAGAGGAUGACCAGCCACACGGGAACUGAGACACGGUCCAGACUCCUACGGGAGGCAGCAGUGGGGAAUAUUGCGCAAUGGGCGCAACCCUGAUGCAGCCAUGCCGCGUGUGUGAAGAAGGCCUUCGGGUUGUAAAGUACUUUCGGCGGUGAGGCGUUACCUGCAGAAGAAGCACCGGCUAACUCCGUGCCAGCAGCCGCGGUAAUAC
rnacentral:rRNA from 1 species